GACGAACCGUGCGAACGUUAUUCGGAAUCACUGGGCUUAAAGCGCGUGUAGGCGGGCCGCCGCGUCGGCUGCUGAAAUCCCCCGGCUCAACCGGGGAACGGGCACCGAUACGGGCGGCCUCGAGGGGGGUAGGGGGGCCUGGAACUUCCGGUGGAGCGGUGAAAUGCGUAGAUAUCAGGAGGAACACCUGUGGCGAAAGCGGCUCACUGGACCAUAACUGACGCUGAUGCACGAAAGCUAGGGGAGCAAACAGG
rnacentral:rRNA from 1 species